AUUGGGUCAAAUGAGCUCCACAUGGCUUUCUCCACCUAGCCGGUGAAGGGGAAACCUAGACAAAGAACUUUACAUUUGAAACCCCUCUGGUUCCUGGAUGGAGGCGUGCAGCCGGGAAAUUCCUGCCUUUGAAACCACACCUCUCACAGACUCGGAAAGAGAAGCCCCUGACUAUGAGAUAUUAUUGUUAUCCCCAUUUUGCAGGCAGACAUCUGCAGUUGCUGGCCUCCAGGUGCUUGAGAGUCCUGGUACUUCAAGACACUCCCUCUAAGGAAGGGAAAGAAGUGAACCUCCAGGAAGUCUGCAGGUAUAAAGAGAGGAGCCCUUGACACUUCAUCUUGCCUUGCAUGUGAAUGUGACGCCUGAAACUGUGUCGACUUUAUGCAAACAUGGAGUUGUAAGCAUGAGAAGAAAGCAAGCAUGUGAGGAUGAUGAAAGAUAAAGGGAGAAAUCACCUGGAUCCUUCAUGGCUUGGCAGAGCUACUGACCCAACGCCAGCAAACACCUAACUCAAGAUUUCUUGUAAUGAGAGGCAAAAAUAGCACCUAUUGUUUAAUCUACUGUUAAUCAGAUUUUGUUUUUGUUGUUGUCGCUUGCCCCCAAAAUACAUCCAUCAGAUAUGGCACGUUAUUCACAAGCUUUUAUCUAUCUGCAUGUGGGGAAGUCACAUCAAUGAUUGCUUUGUGUCUCACCAAUUUUAAUCAUGAGUCCUUCAUUCUCUGGAGCUGCACAAAAUUGGAUACUUACCAGCAACACCUGGAGAUCUUGUAAGAAAU
rnacentral:lncRNA from 13 species